rnacentral:siRNA from 1 species
UACCAUUAGUAGAAACACCUCGGA